rfam:Triticum aestivum genome assembly, contig: Triticum_aestivum_CS42_TGACv1_scaffold_604087_7DL
GAACUACUCCCUCCGUUCGGAAUUACUUGUCGCGAAAAUGGAUGUAUCUAGUUAGAUACAUCCAUUUUCACGACAAGUAAUUCCGAACGAAGGGAGUAUAGA